rnacentral:lncRNA from 1 species
AGUUUGCUCCUAACUGCCUGCACUUUCACCUCGCUUCUGGGCACUGCUCCCGGGCUCUGGCGGUGCUUUGGCCCCAUGUCCAGGGAGCCUGACCCGCCUGGUGGCUGUGAUUCCCUGGGACAGCCCCUGGGUGACCACUGUGAGUCUGAGCUCUUGCCUUGGGGCAGGACGAACUGGGUGCUCCUCAGACCCAGAUCCGGCUGAGGCUGGGAUAUUGGCUCGAGUGACACCUGGGCUUGGCUUCCUUCCCUGCCCUGUCCUGUCUCCCCUGUGCAGCCUCCCCUGAAGCGCGGGUCUACAAACCUCAUCCCAGGACCCGUUUCUAGGAGACAGUGAGGCUAAGACCCAGUGCCUGCCCGAUGCAUUAACAGAUGGAAUCCUCCUGAGGACCCUAGGAAGCAGGGAGAAACUCUCCACGGGUGCUGAGAUGUCUUUGACACCUCGCUGAGUAAGGUUGGCAGAGCUUCCUUCACAACAGCCGGAAACGGUUUCCAUUGAAAACCUUCCUCAGGCAGCAGGACAGAAAGCAGACUUGGGUGACACCUUUUGUUUCUCUGUGUUCACUUUCACCAUCACCUACUCUUCCGACACACACAGGAAGAAUGCCAUGGGAACAUGAAAGCAGAAAUCAGGGUGACGUAUCCGCCAGCCAAGGGAUGCGAAAGAUUGCCAGCGAAGUACCAGAAGCUAGGGAAGAGGCCAGGAACAGAUUCCCACAGAAUGAACCAACCCUGCUGGCCCUUUGAUCUCAGACUUCUGGCCUGCAGAACUGUGAGAGAAUACAUUUCUGUUGUGUAAGCUGCCCCAUUUGUGGUACUUUGUUACGGCAGCCAGGGGAGACUAACGUACCCAACAUUUCAGUCACAAGGACAUUUAUUGAAAAGGCAGCCCAGACCCAUAUCAUCCAUUUCCUUCCUUCCUGUAGCUCCUCAUAUCCGUUAGGGAUGCCUGUUACCUGCAAGUUGCAGAAAGCUUAACUAUCAGUGGCCUGAACAAAAUGGGAGUUUUGUUUUCCUCCUCUAAAAAGAAACCUGGCUAAAAAUCAUACAGUCACAUCAAUAGAUGCAGAAACAGUGUUUGGCAAACUCCAACACCUAUCCCCGACAAAAACUCCCAGCAAACUAGGAGUAAAGAGGAACUUCAACUUGAUAAAGAACAUUUCCGAUAAUCCAAUAGCUAACAUCUCACUUAAUGGUGAGAAACUAGGUUCUUUCCCCGUAAGGUCAGGAACAAGGCAAGGACAUUCACUCUCACCACUCCUUUUCAAGGUCAUACUGGAAAUCAUAGCUAAUGCCAUAAGACAAGUAAGAAAAGGUAUACAGAUUGAGAAGGAAGAAAUAAAACUGUCUUUCUUCACAGAUGACAUGACUGUUUAGAAAAUCCCAAAGAUUCAAAACAAUGACAAAAAACACUAGAAUGAAUAAGUGAUUAUAGCAAGGUUGCAGGAUACAAGGUAACUAUACAAAAGUCAAUUGCUUUCCUACAUAUCAGCAAUGAGCAAGUAGAAUUGGAUAUUUAAAGAAGCCUGGCAAAAGCUGUUUUAGCAACCAGGCCAUGUCAGGGCCUCAGCAGUUCUUAUACCUUUCUCUGUAGUGCCAACAUGCCUGCCAAAGCUCCAGAACAUUCCAGACAGGAAUGUGCAGGGAGGGAGGAGAGUAGAUGCUGUUGGUGCUCACUAAGCCUCCUCAGGAGAGACUGCUUGAGAGUUUAACACCCUCAACCGAUGACAAGUGGGGAUUGAGUGAAUAAAUACCCCAACUAUCUCACUCUUCAGGCACAUAACUCUGAGCUUGUCUACGCUGUCUCUUGGUGUUCCUCAGAAGAAUUGCUUCUAUAAAGUGGGAUUGGUGAUAGUCCUUUCUUCAUAGGGUUGGUGUGAGAGCUGCUGCAUAUAAACCACUGUGCAAAGAGCCAGGCAUACAGUAAGUGCUAAAUAAAUGCCUGUGACUGUGAGCACUCACUCAGUAUGGUUGGGGAGCAGAAGAGAGGCCAGUGUAGCUGGAGCUGGACCAAGGCCUAAGGGCAGAUGAGACCAUGGGCAUCUUGGGGCCAUCUGUGGUGACCCUUGACCUAAGAAGGUCCACAGACUCAUUUUAAAGGAAGGCCACAGCUAGACUCAAUCCCUAGGCAGAGUAGGCUAAGAGUGGGAAAACUCUGGACUUGCCAAGGUUCUGUUUCCACUGAAUGGGGCACAAAGCAGAAAUUUAGUUGAAUUAUAGAAAACUCUAGAGAGUUCUAGAAAAAAACCUGUAGCUGAUGUGUUUGGAGUGGGGGUGGGACUCUUCCAGAGCUAUGCUUUGGGCCAUCAAGCCACAAGGGCCAAGUUUUUUGAGAUUUUACAAGCCAGAGACUCGGGCCUCUGGUCUUCAGGUCAAAAUCCCCCCACUGCAGCCUGGCUCUCUGUAAAGCCUGCCUCCAGCGUGGAAACGGGAAGAUGCAAUGUCUUAGUGGUUAAGCCAUGGAUGGCCACUAGUGGCCCUUGUCCUGGGCCCUUAUCCUUGGUGUGAGAUCUGGAAUCUCUCUCACAGCCCCCGCUUGGUGUCUUCGUGGGUGGCAGCCUGUUGUCAUGGAGGAAGCUGGGAUGCAGUUGUGGAUGAGUGAAUUUAUGAUGGGGAAAUUUAACACAGGGCUGAUUCAUGGCUUUUCAUCCCAGGCCUGGGGGAAGCUCAGACCCCUGUACUCCGGCUGCCUUCAUUUAUUUCAGACUCGUGUGUGAAGAGGCCGGGGGUGGGAGAAGGGUGAAGAAAAGGUUGAACACCAGGCAUGGGGCGAGAGCGCCUUCACCCACCAGGCUCCUCAGGAACCCAGUCCUGGGAAAUGGCCUUGCAGAGGGAACAGUCGCAGCUGGGUUCCAUUCUCCAGUUUCUAAAAGGAGGCAGGAAAAAAAUCAUUCUGCACAUUUGCAGUCGUCUCCCUGCCUGGCUUUUUUUUUUCUUUCCUGCAAGCACAGAGGACGUGGUCCCUGUGUCCUGCCACAGCGCGUGGGGGCUCGUUAAUUAAAGAGCCGAGCAGAUGUCACUGUUCAUUAAGCGCGGCCGCGUGGCUCCUUCUGCAGACACUGCCGCCCUUUGCGCUCACUACUUAAUGACACCGCGUCUCCCUGGCUGCCCCAGCCCUGGAGAAGAGCAGGCAAGGCUGCGUUUCCCCCUAAUUUGGCGGGGUGGGGGGCCUCCGCCCCACUGCGUCCUUGUCGGCUGGGGCGCUGCAGCCAGACACAAGGUGAUGGAGACUUUUAAUUUUCAUCAUGCCUAUCCGUCGGAGCUCCGUUUUAAAUCACUUUAACGGCAGAUUAAAAAUAUAUAAGCUGAUAUUAGAGGACAUUCUUAGUGCCUUUAUAAAUAUCUUAAAUCAAAAGUUUGGCUUAAUUGCACUUGAAUGGGUACAGGAG